UGCCAGCCGCCGCGGUAAUACGGAGGGUGCUAGCGUUGUUCGGAAUUACUGGGCGUAAAGAGCAUGUAGGCGGAUGAAUUAGUCAGAGGUGAAAGCCCCGAGCUCAACUUGGGAACUGCCUUUGAUACUGUUUAUCUAGAGUCCGAGAGAGGUUAGUGGAAUUCCCAGUGUAGAGGUGAAAUUCGUAGAUAUUGGGAAGAACACCAGUGGCGAAGGCGGCUAACUGGUCCUCAACUGACGCUGAGACGCGAAAGCGUGGGUAGCGAACGGGAUUAGAUA
rnacentral:rRNA from 1 species